rnacentral:lncRNA from 1 species
UGGUCUGUCUCUGAGCAGUUUCUGUCCAUCUCUUCAUAUCUGCACAAAUCAGCAUGGAGUGUUUCCUCUAGAUCAAAAUCAAAGACUUCUUGGCUCAAGUCAUCAAUGACAUCAAGGCCAUAAACAGGAGAAACAUCUUUAGGGAAUUUCAUAGCUUCAUAAACAUUGAAUUUGAUAAUCUCCCCUUCAAACUCCAUGGUUAAUGUGCCAUCAUGCACAUCAAUUUUGGUUCUUGCUGUGCUCAAGAAUGGCCUUCCAAGUAGGAUGUCAGAGGUGGUAUUGCUCUUGUCUUCCUCCAUGUCAAUGACGUAAAAAUCAGCUGGGAAGACUAGUUGGUCCACUUGCACCAACACAUCUUCAAGCACUCCCUUGGGAUAGACAAUUGAUCGGUCAGCCAAUUGAAUUACAAUGCUGGUGCCUUUUAGUGAACCUGCAUUCAAUAAAUUAAAAAUAGAGAGG